GACGAACGCUGGCGGCGUGCCUAACACAUGCAAGUCGAGCGAGGGGAGUUUCUUCGGAAACAAACCUAGCGGCGGACGGGUGAGUAACACGUGGGCAACCUGCCUUAUAGUGGGGAAUAGCCUCCCGAAAGGGAGAUUAAUACCGCAUAAUAUUACACUUUCGCAUGAAGGAAUAAUUAAAGGAGCAAUUCGCUAUAAGAUGGGCCCGCGGCGCAUUAGCUAGUUGGUGAGGUAAUGGCUCACCAAGGCGACGAUGCGUAGCCGACCUGAGAGGGUGAUCGGCCACAUUGGGACUGAGACACGGCCCAGACUCCUACGGGAGGCAGCAGUGGGGAAUAUUGCACAAUGGGGGAAACCCUGAUGCAGCAACGCCGCGUGAGUGAUGAAGGUCUUCGGAUCGUAAAGCUCUGUCUUCAGGGACGAUAAUGACGGUACCUGAGGAGGAAGCCACGGCUAACUACGUGCCAGCCGCCGCUGUAAAAC
rnacentral:rRNA from 1 species